rnacentral:lncRNA from 1 species
CGUUUACUUUUCUACAUUGGCUAGAGGUAUAGGGGGAGGGUUGAGAUCUCAGAAACAUGUUUAUCCCCGCUGCAUUUUUGCACCUGUCCCAAGUCAGGAGCCUCUGGCCUUUGUUAGUCUUGUAUUAUUUUAAUUUUAGUUUCUUGUGUACAAUUUGGAAAUUAGUAUGGCGUUCAUUAUCACUGAACUAGUAUAUAUUUGUUUAGGGGCCAGCUGAAGGACGCCU